GUCGGGCCACUUGGGGAGGAAAGUUGCAGCGCAAGGGAAGUUUGUGCGGUGCAGACGGGAAGGCACUAAGACUUUUAUGUACUAAAAUAAUGAUGACAAAAGACCGAAUAGCAGUACCUGAGAUCACAUUGCUAACAUCCAGUGGAUAAUGGAAAAAAUGGAUCCAGCAGCUCUGACCACGCUUUGCUUGCACAAGCACGAAGCUGAAAGCACCAGCCUGAAGAUGAUGAGUGAGACCUCAUCGAAACGUCGCCAAGAUACUCUCAACCUUACAUGGGAAAAGACCGCCAAGAACUACACACACGCGCGUGCGUGUUAAGACAAGUGAAGCUUGUUCUGCUUCUGAAGUGGCCGAGGAGGAGGCGGAUCUUCUACCAGUAGCCUGAGACGGUCGGGAGCAGCAGGUCGAGGCAGUUGGUCAGCUGGGCAGGAGGCGGGCACAGGCCUCUGCACACAGAGAUGAUCCGACCGGGCUGCUGAUUGGAGUGACCCUCGCAUCAGAAGAUUGGAUAGGCGGAGGCAACAGAAGGAAGGGAGGGGCAGGCCUUAAUGAAUGCUGAGUCAUGGAGCCACACCCCAUGGCCUAUAUAAAGGAUCUGCUUUCUGGCAGUCUCUGAGUCCGGCAAAGUCGAACUUAUCUUGCUGAAGUCACUUACUGGUCUCCUGCCUGCUCUGAGGACUUUGCUAGGACUUUGGGCAGAGCUGCAGAGGCAAGCCUGAUUCGGAUUUCCCUGACCCGGCCGUCAGCGGAGGAGUGGGACACGACACUCGCUUCCCCAAGGGGGUACCUGGCUGUGCUUAUCAAUUCUGCUACUGGAGCAGUCGGAGGUGGGCGUUCAGGCCGGCUGCAGGGCAAGGCAAUACAAAUGGGGUAGGUAGGCCACUGCGGGUGCAGGCCUACAGGGCUGGCUGCAGGGUGAAGUGAUCAGAUGGGAUAGGUCAGGGUUCUGCAACCUUAAACACUCAACCUUAAACAUUCAACCUUAAACACUCAACCUUAAACACAUGUAAACACUUAAACACAACCUUAAACCUGGGUGGGCAUUGCCAACUCCAUAUCACUUACUCCCACCCAGUCACAUGACCACCCACAAUCACGCCUACCCAUGUUUUGUGGCUCCCAGUAUUUUCUUUUAAACAGGUAUCUCUGUGUCUCUCUUUCUCUCAUCUCUUUCUCUCCCUCAUCUCUCUUUCUCUCCCCUCUAUCUUUCUCUCCCUCAUCUCUCUUUCUCUCCCUCAUCUCCGCUCUCACUCUCUCACUCUCUUUCUUCCUCUCCCACCCAGGCAGUGGUGGUGGCGACAUACCUACUGCACCAUUGGGUAGGACCUUGGCCUGGAGGUGGCACCUUAGGCCUGCGCCCCACUGCACUUGCGCCCGCCUGACUACUGCUCCCAACUCUGGCUGCUCUAACUAUACCUAACAAUGGGGCAGAUGGCAUCCCUCCUCCUCUCACUCUCUUCCUCUCCCCCCCGGGCGGUGGCAGUGGCAGCGUACCUACCAGAACAUUGGGUUGUCCCUCGGCCUAGAGGUAGCAUCUUAGGCCUGCGCCCCACUGCGUGUACUCCCACCUGACUGCACCUGUGGCCGGCUCUGGCUGCUCUUACUGCGCUUCACAAUGGGGCAGAUGGUGUCCCUCUUCCUCUUCCUCCUCUUCCUGGAGCCCAUUACAAUGCAGAGCAUCAGCUGCAGCCAGGCCAGCCAGUGUUCUGGGGUGGAGAAAAGUUGCGUGUCUCCCCCAGCGACCAGAUGGGGUAGGGUAAAUUGGUUCCGCAUGGGUGGGAGGCAGAACAGUUAUGCUAGGUUGGCGGCAGGCCAAGGUGCUUGGAUGCAUCCAAGCACCUCACUGGCCACCCCAUCCAAGCGCCGACUGUGGCCUACCCCCAUCCAAGCACCUUGCUACUGGGUGGUGGCUGCAUAGCCAGCGAGGUACUUAGAUGGGGUGGCCAGUGAGAUGCUUGGAUGGGGUGGGAUGGCCAGCGAGGAGUUUGGAUGGGGUGGCCAGUGAAGAGCUUGGGUCGGGUGGCUAGCGAGGCCCUUGGAUCAGGUGGCUACCAAGGCAUUUAGAUGAGAUGACCAGUGAGGCACUUGGAUGGGGUGGGAUGGCCAGCAAGGCGCUUGGAUGGGGUGGUCAGCGAGGCACUUGGAUGGGGUGGCUAGCGAGGUGCUUGGAUGGGGUAGCCAGCGGCUUGCGGCCACCCCAUCCAAGCCCUUCACUAGCCACCCAGCCACCAGUCACUAGCAAGGCAAUUGGAUGUGGGGUAGGCCGCGGCCAGCAGCUGGGCAGGCAGAGAUUGACCACCUUUCCCAGCCCCGCUUCCCCGAGGGUGGCACUCGGCUGUACUUGCCUGUUCUGUUGCUGGAGCAGUCAGAGGCAGUCUGAGGUGGGCGUUCAGGAGCAGAGUGGGAGGCUGCCGCAUCGUAGGCCACGGCAAAGGUAGGCGAGCAGGCUGGGUCAUGUGGUCGAGGCAAGGGAGCCAAAGAAUAGCUGCAGCUAUGCCUCAGUGUGUCACUAAGGAAAGCUGUGCGACACUGCGAGCAAGGCCAAUAAAUAGUGG